rnacentral:rRNA from 1 species
AAARAAGUAAAUUUUAAACCUAAAUUAGUAAAAGUUAAGUUCUCGAAAAUUAAGAAAGAUGGCGGUACUUUAGUCUAUUCAGAGGAACCUGUUUUAUAAUUGAUAAACCACGUUUUUAUUUACUUAUUUUAUUAGUUUGCAUAUCGUCGUAGUUGGAAUAUUUUUUUUGAAUAUUAAUAUUCAAAAUUUUAAUUAGAAAAGAAUUCAGAUCAAGAUGUAGUUUAUAAAUAAGAAUUAAUGGGUUACAAUAAAGCUAUUUAUGGAUAUUUUUUGUAAUAAAAAAUUGAAAUUGGAUUUGAUAGUAAUUUUUUAUAAAGAUUUAUAAGGUGAUUAAAGCUC